UGAGCUUUAAGUUAUGUAAACUUUAAGCCUUCCAAGCUAAAAAAAAGAAUCCCUUAAGUUCAA
rnacentral:tRNA from 1 species